GUACAGGACUUCACUGUUUUUUUUUUUGUUGAGAUGGGCUAGCUUUAAAAAUGUUAACCCUACCGCUUUGUUAUUUUGUCUAAAAAUAACAAGUUAAAGAUAUAUGUUGUUGUAACAAUGGUAGAAAAUAUGGCAGCGUUUACAGAGCGUUUGAAGCAAGAACUGACAAACAACAUACCCGCACAUUGACUCGGGUAACAGUGAACGAGAAGAGGACCAACCACAAUGUAUUGAUAGCCCGAGGGCUUGCUUGGUGGAAGGACCAGUCCCUUGUUGGAGAGGAUUCAAGAGGAGAGGAUACGAAGGAAGAGACAAUACCACAGUGUGAAAGUUAACAAGGCAAACAAAUUGGUGGAUCAAUUCAUUCAAGACCUGGUUCCACGGCAUGGGCCGUCCUGGCGGAGGACGAUGUGUUGUCAUUUAGGAUGUGUCUGGAGAAUGGUUAUCACCACGGUACCGCUGUCUCUGACUCCCCCUGUUGGAAGAACACACUACGAGACUGCAGGAACUCUGAGAACACUGUGCGCUCCAACUGGGAGAAUCGUGUUGGAUCAAUCAGCUAACUGCAGUAUGACCUUUGAGAAGGUGCUGUGUGACAUCAGUUCCUGUGACAGCUAUGUUGUUGCCGAUGUAAGAUAUACAGUAUAGAACCUGUUUUCAGUGUCAGAAGGGGCAAGCAGCUGUGUUGAUCAGCACAUUUCCAGCCUAAUGAAGGGAGAUCAAUAGACAUUGAGCUGCUGUUUUGACUCUGUACUAAAAGAGACCACCACUUGUCUUUGAACUCCUUUUUUUUCAUGUUCUUUUAAUUCAACCUGUUGUGAAAACACAAUAGACUUCAGCCUCUAUGUUAUGUCCCUUACAGCUAUGGAUUCUCACAUGAAGUAAGCUACUUAAAUUCGACUGGGUCCGGUGUACAGUAGGAUGAUAGUGUGACUUGAGCUGCUGAAAUGAGUCUGUUAAAUGUUGUUUCAGGAGGCUGGGGCCCACAGGGAGUGGUCUGAUUAAAUUCUCCUCUGGCGCCGGUGAACUCUGGCUGGGUCCCAAAAGGCACUCUAUUCCCUACAUACAGAGACAGAGGGCUGCCUGCUGCAGCAAAUUGUAUUCACCCAGAAUAUCAUGUCUUCCCCCUCAGGAGGCUGAAAAUAUUUGGCAUAGGCCCUUAGAUCCUCAAAAAGUUUUACAGCUACACCAUCGAGAGCAUUUUUACUGGCUGCAUCACUGCUUGGUAUGGUAAAUGCACCACCCUUGACUGCAAAGUGCUACAGAGGGUGAUGCGGACGGCCUAGCACAUCGCUGGGCCGAGUUCCGUGCCAUCCAGGACCUCUAUAUCAGGCGGUGCCAGAGGAAGGCUGGAAGAAUUGCCGAAGACUCCAGCCACCCAGUCAAAAGUAUGGACACACCUUCUCAUUCAAGGGUUUUUUCUUUAUUUGUACUAUUUUCUACG